rnacentral:rRNA from 1 species
UACGUAGGGUGCAAGCGUUAAUCGGAAUUACUGGGCGUAAAGCGUGCGCAGGCGGUUUUGUAAGUCUGACGUGAAAUCCCCGGGCUCAACCUGGGAAUUGCGUUGGAGACUGCAAGGCUGGAAUCUGGCAGAGGGGGGUAGAAUUCCACGUGUAGCAGUGAAAUGCGUAGAGAUGUGGAGGAACACCGAUGGCGAAGGCAGCCCCCUGGGUCAAGAUUGACGCUCAUGCACGAAAGCGUGGGGAGCAAACAGG